GUUUCAGCGGUGUUCGGCAGAUAGAGUGUCCAUUUUUAGUUCCAUGAAAAUAGAGCUGAACACCGCUGGGCUUUCGCGUGGUUUAAAAUGGCCGCUGCCUCGUGGUCGACAUACGAAAGACGACCACCCUGAAUUCGGUUUAAUUGAGAAGUGUCUGCGGUUAACCACAACGUUCUAAUUGGGAUCAAUAGGUUAACCAGCAGCACAC